rnacentral:rRNA from 1 species
CGUUGAUUACGUCCCUGCCCUUUGUACACACCGCCCGUCGCUACUACCGAUUGAAUGGCUUAGUGAGGUCUCCGGAUUGGCUUUGAGAAACCGGCAACGGUAGCUCAUAGCUGAGAACCUGAUCAAACUUGGUCAUUUAGAGGAAGUAAAAGUCGUAACAAGG